AUUUUUUACCAAAUUUUCUCAAUGUAAAAUGUCUAUGACACUUCAUUUCUGUUAAAUUAAGCUACUUGACUGUUGUUGUUUUUGGUUUAGUUUUUUUCAGAUGAAUGAAUAAGCCAAGUCCCCUCAUCUGUUUCAUAACCAAUUAUAACUCUUUUCACAUCUUUUAGUCUGUCAUUAAACAAUCCAUGGGGCAGAACGUUGAAAAGACUUGACAGGCUUACAUGAGUCAUUAGUUACAACCGUGUUUGUGAAGUCUGUUAAUGCUUUGAUAUUAUGUUUUGUCUUAACAGCAUGACAGCCAGGUAAAUAAAGACAUCUUAUAAUCAGUAUAUUUUGAUUCAUAUUGCCCUCUGCAUGAGGCUAGCCAAGCUGAUGACGUGUGUUUGUUUGUGUCUUGGCUGGCAUCUGAGGGCUCCUGCUCCUCCACGCGGCAGCUGGAAAUCACUUUCUCUGUCCUUUAUUAAUCUAAAUUUGAUGUUUGUCAGUUCAGAAACAUUUACGCGGAAUUUCUCACAUUUAUAACUCUGCCUUACUUGAGUCAUUACCAUAAAUAUAUUCAAAUAUUAUUUUAUAAUCAAAGUGUCUCUACACAUUUUUUGUGGGACUGCAAGCAACUGAAUUCACUGAUUUGACAAUUUAUUUUCCCUUUCCUCUUGCAUAAUACUGCAACCUGGACAGUACCUUCCAUUACAUACACUUGAAUUAUGCUACUGAAAACUGAUUAAUAUCAUGCAAUCUGCAUUAUUAAUAUGGACACACGGCAUAUUUAAACUUGACAUCCAAGCAUCGCUCUGCUUCUGGAUACAUGAUGCAAUAGCUUCCCUGCUGCAGUAAUUGAGCUUUUUCAUUAUUACACUACUGAGAGACAGGAAAUGCCAUGGAGUUUGACAUUUCUUUAGCUGUAUGUACUUUUACUAAAACUAUUCUAGGUCGGAGGUCACUUUGAAGCGGUAUGCUGGCUGUCUACGGGAGAUUGAAGUCUCGAGGACUCCCUAUAGUCUCCUCAGCAGUUCAGAUUACACUGGGGUCACUAAAGGAUGUAAUGUAGAGAACCUGUAUACAGUCAGUUUCUCUAAGCCGGGAUACAUGGAGCUGGCUGGUCUGUCGCUAGCGGUUGGCACAGAGAUCAGCCUGUCAUUCAGCACUCUGGCAGACACCGGGACCAUAAUGCUGGCAGUAGGCGGAGCUUCACCAAUCGGCCAGCAGGCCCGAAAAAAUAACCUCCUUAACUCCAAGAGGAGACGCAGACAGUCGGGAGAGGUGGGUU